rnacentral:lncRNA from 1 species
UCACGGAGAAAACGUGGGAAGCGCCCGCCGCGCAGGCCAGCCGCGCGUGGGCGUUGGUUGUGCGUUGGCAUCACCAUAUUUUUAGCCGGUCGGCCACAGGCCCACAGCCCCACCACAUGAUUGAUGCGCCGCUGGCUCGUUUUGUUUAGUUUUGCGCGCGCCGCAUGAGCCGAGUGGUGGGCGUGCGUGCACGCAGCCGGUUGGGGCCCGAGCAGAAAAUGCAUGGCC